CCUACGGGUGGCAGCAGUGAGGAAUAUUGGUCAAUGGACGAGAGUCUGAACCAGCCAAGUAGCGUGAAGGAUGACUGCCCUAUGGGUUGUAAACUUCUUUUAUAUGGGAAUAAAAUGUUCCACGUGUGGGAUUUUGUAUGUACCAUAUGAAUAAGGAUCGGCUAACUCCGUGCCAGCAGCCGCGGUAAUACGGAGGAUCCGAGCGUUAUCCGGAUUUAUUGGGGUUAAAGGGAGCGUAGGUGGAUUGUUAAGUCAGUUGUGAAAGUUUGCGGCUAAACCGUAAAAUUGCAGUUGAAACUGGCAGUCUUGAGUACAGUAGAGGUGGGCGGAAUGCGUGGUGUAGCGGUGAAAUGCUUAGAUAUCACGAAGAACUCCGAUUGCGAAGGCAGUUCACUGGACUGCAACUGACACUGAGGCUCGAAAGUGUGGGUAUCAAACAGGAUUAGAUACCCGUGUAGUC
rnacentral:rRNA from 1 species